rnacentral:lncRNA from 1 species
AGCUUCUCUUGAGUUUUUCUGGGGGAAUAUACCAGGAGACCAUAAUCAAGCAUCACCAGUGGCAUUUCAUACUGGUCCCAUGGUGUUAAUCCAGGUUUCUGGUAUUGCACUAAACACGAUGAAAAACAGGAGAGAACGGAGAGGGAUCAUGUUUUACCACAAUAUGCAAUUUAUGGGAGAGAUGAAGCGCUCAGGUGGAGAUGACUAGUGUCACGUGGUGUUUUAAGUGGAUACUCACAACGCUGGAACUCACAGCAAUAACAACAAGAGGUGAGAUUAAUAUUUACUCAGUGAACUUUGAGUAAAGCAUUGGGUGCUUCAUUAUGUGGAGGAGUCUCAUCCAAUCAGUUGAAGGUGACUGAAUGGAACUAUAGAUCGACCUCACAUAAAUGAGAGGGAAUUCUGCAACAGAUCAUCUUUGCCUUUGAACUGCAGCAUGGACUCCCCUCUGGGUCUCCUGCCUGCCAGCCCACCCUGCAGAGUGCAUUUGCCAGCCUCCACAAUCAGGUAAUUUAUCCUGUGCAUUAACAAGAGGAAGUCUAGAGCCAUGGAAACCAAGUCAGGAAACUUCUCUCUUAUUAUUAGGUCCACUGCAAAUCUAGUUGAGACUGCAAAUCGAGAGCUCUGUUCACUGGCUUUCGUCUCCUUUCCUCAACACAGUUUAGUCACCACCUCCGAGGAACUGUGUCCCGCAUUGGCAUUCCUUUGGCAGCUUCCACUUCUCUGUCCCCUUGAGCAAAGUUUUUCUCAGGGGAAGCCGAGCUCCAGACUAUUCAUUUGUCCUGAGGCAGCCACUUGAAACACAAUCAUUUUGUAUUUCUACGAUGUUUUGACCUUUUAUCCAAGUCAGCCCUAUAGAAUGGGCCAGGAGGUUGCUGCCACUGAAUAAGCCACUGUGAUUUUUAGCGUCAAGAAUUUUGCUGUUAACUAUGGCAGAAAAAUAGACAGAGGACAAUAAAAAUAACUAACAUAGACUAAUUGCAAAGAAUCUUAAUAUGUUCUUACAGUCAUCAUUCUUUUAUUACAGUUCCUGACUUCCU